rnacentral:rRNA from 1 species
GCGUGCCUAAUACAUGCAAGUCGAACGAACUCUGGUAUUGAUUGGUGCUUGCAUCAUGAUUUACAUUUGAGUGAGUGGCGAACUGGUGAGUAACACGUGGGAAACCUGCCCAGAAGCGGGGGAUAACACCUGGAAACAGAUGCUAAUACCGCAUAACAACUUGGACCGCAUGGUCCGAGUUUGAAAGAUGGCUUCGGCUAUCACUUUUGGAUGGUCCCGCGGCGUAUUAGCUAGAUGGUGGGGUAACGGCUCACCAUGGCAAUGAUACGUAGCCGACCUGAGAGGGUAAUCGGCCACAUUGGGACUGAGACACGGCCCAAACUCCUACGGGAGGCAGCAGUAGGGAAUCUUCCACAAUGGACGAAAGUCUGAUGGAGCAACGCCGCGUGAGUGAAGAAGGGUUUCGGCUCGUAAAACUCUGUUGUUAAAGAAGAACAUAUCUGAGAGUAACUGUUCAGGUAUUGACGGUAUUUAACCAGAAAGCCACGGCUAACUACGUGCCAGCAGCCGCGGUAAUACGUAGGUGGCAAGCGUUGUCCGGAUUUAUUGGGCGUAAAGCGAGCGCAGGCGGUUUUUUAAGUCUGAUGUGAAAGCCUUCGGCUCAACCGAAGAAGUGCAUCGGAAACUGGGAAACUUGAGUGCAGAAGAGGACAGUGGAACUCCAUGUGUAGCGGUGAAAUGCGUAGAUAUAUGGAAGAACACCAGUGGCGAAGGCGGCUGUCUGGUCUGUAACUGACGCUGAGGCUCGAAAGUAUGGGUAGCAAACAGGAUUAGAUACCCUGGUAGUCCAUACCGUAAACGAUGAAUGCUAAGUGUUGGAGGGUUUCCGCCCUUCAGUGCUGCAGCUAACGCAUUAAGCAUUCCGCCUGGGGAGUACGGCCGCAAGGCUGAAACUCAAAGGAAUUGACGGGGGCCCGCACAAGCGGUGGAGCAUGUGGUUUAAUUCGAAGCUACGCGAAGAACCUUACCAGGUCUUGACAUACUAUGCAAAUCUAAGAGAUUAGACGUUCCCUUCGGGGACAUGGAUACAGGUGGUGCAUGGUUGUCGUCAGCUCGUGUCGUGAGAUGUUGGGUUAAGUCCCGCAACGAGCGCAACCCUUAUUAUCAGUUGCCAGCAUUAAGUUGGGCACUCUGGUGAGACUGCCGGUGACAAACCGGAGGAAGGUGGGGAUGACGUCAAAUCAUCAUGCCCCUUAUGACCUGGGCUACACACGUGCUACAAUGGAUGGUACAACGAGUUGCGAACUCGCGAGAGUAAGCUAAUCUCUUAAAGCCAUUCUCAGUUCGGAUUGUAGGCUGCAACUCGCCUACAUGAAGUCGGAAUCGCUAGUAAUCGCGGAUCAGCAUGCCGCGGUGAAUACGUUCCCGGGCCUUGUACACACCGCCCGUCACACCAUGAGAGUUUGUAACACCCAAAGUCGGUGGGGUAACCUUUUAGGAACCAGCCGCCUAAGG